UACGGAGGGGGCUAGCGUUGUUCGGAAUUACUGGGCGUAAAGCGCGCGUAGGCGGACCUGCAAGUCGGGGGUGAAAGCCCGAGGCUCAACCUCGGAACUGCCUUCGAUACUGCGGGUCUCGAGUCCGGGAGAGGUGAGUGGAAUUCCUAGUGUAGAGGUGAAAUUCGUAGAUAUUAGGAAGAACACCUGAGGCGAAGGCGGGUUGCUGGGCUGACACUGACGCUGAGGCGCGAAAGCCAGGGGAGCGAACGGG
rnacentral:rRNA from 1 species